rnacentral:rRNA from 1 species
GCGGAGGAAAAGAAACCAACAGGGAUUGCCCCAGUAACGGCGAGUGAAGCGGCAACAGCUCAAAUUUGAAAUCUGGCGCAAGCCCGAGUUGUAAUUUGCAGAGGAUGCUUCAGGGCAGCGACCGGUCUAAGUUCCUUGGAACAGGACGUCGUAGAGGGUGAGAAUCCCGUAUGCGACCGGUUGGCACCCGUCACGUAGCUCCUUCGACGAGUCGAGUUGUUUGGGAAUGCAGCUCUAAAUGGGAGGUAAAUUUCUUCUAAAGCUAAAUACCGGCCAGAGACCGAUAGCGCACAAGUAGAGUGAUCGAAAGAUGAAAAGCACUUUGGAAAGAGAGUUAAAAAGCACGUGAAAUUGUUGAAAGGGAAGCGCAUGCAACCAGACUUGUCGGCGGUGUUCCGCCGGUCUUCUGACCGGUCCACUCGCCGCCGGCAGGCCAGCAUCAUCUGGGCGCGCCGGACAAAGGCGCGGGGAAUGUAGCUCCUCGGAGUGUUAUAGCCCCGCGCACAAUACGGCGCCGCUCGGGUGAGGUCCGCGCUUCGGCUAGGAUGCUGGCGUAAUGGUUGUCUGCGGCCCGUCUUGAAACACGGACCAAGGAGUCUAACAUCUAUGCGAGUGUUCGGGUGUCAAACCCCUACGCGGAAUGAAAGUGAACGGAGGUGGGAAGCGCAAGCUGCACCAUCGACCGAUCCUGAUGUCUUCGGAUGGAUUUGAGUAAGAGCAUAGCUGUUGGGACCCGAAAGAUGGUGAACUAUGCCUGAAUAGGGUGAAGCCAGAGGAAACUCUGGUGGAGGCUCGCAGCGGUUCUGACGUGCAAAUCGAUCGUCAAAUUUGGGUAUAGGGGCGAAAGACUAAUCGAACCAUCUAGUAGCUGGUUCCUGCCGAA